AGAUGUGAGAGCAAUCUGGCUGAGACAUCUGUCAGCCUUUGUUCAUCAGCACUGACUCCACGGAUCUGCCUGGUGAGGCAGAUGUCCCCCUCCUUCCCCACAGCUCCAUGUGUAGCCUCCCCUGAGGCUGCACGUGGACAUGCUGCCAGCAAACAGGAGGGGAAGCCAUGGACUUGAGUGAGG
rnacentral:snRNA from 1 species